UACGUAGGGGGCGAGCGUUGUCCGGAGUUACUGGGCGUAAAGCGCUUGUAGGCGGUCCACCAAGUUUGGGGUGACAGUUGCCGACUUAAUCGGCAAAGUGCCUCAAAGACUGGCGGACUUGAGGGCCACAGAGGGACAUGGAACUCCAGGUGUAGUGGUGAAAUGCGUAGAUAUCUGGAAGAACACCAAAGGCGAAGGCAGUGGCCUGGGUGGUCGCUGACGCUGAGAGGCGAAAGCCAGGGGAGCGAACGGG
rnacentral:rRNA from 1 species